UUUUAUUUGAGAGUUUGAUCCUGGCUCAGGAUGAACGCUGGCGGCGUGCCUAACACAUGCAAGUUGAGCGAUUUACUUCGGUAAAGAGCGGCGGACGGGUGAGUAACGCGUGGGUAACCUACCCUGUACACACGGAUAACAUACCGAAAGGUAUGCUAAUACGGGAUAAUAUAUUUGAGAGGCAUCUCUUGAAUAUCAAAGGUGAGCCAGUACAGGAUGGACCCGCGUCUGAUUAGCUAGUUGGUAAGGUAACGGCUUACCAAGGCGACGAUCAGUAGCCGACCUGAGAGGGUGAUCGGCCACAUUGGAACUGAGACACGGUCCAAACUCCUACGGGAGGCAGCAGUGGGGAAUAUUGCACAAUGGGCGAAAGCCUGAUGCAGCAACGCCGCGUGAGUGAUGAAGGCCUUCGGGUCGUAAAACUCUGUCCUCAAGGAAGAUAAUGACGGU
rnacentral:rRNA from 1 species